rnacentral:rRNA from 1 species
AGAGUUUGAUCCUGGCUCAGGAUGAACGCUAGCGGCAGGCUUAACACAUGCAAGUCGAGGGGCAGCAUUCGGGUAGCAAUACCUGAGAUGGCGACCGGCGCACGGGUGCGUAACGCGUAUGCAACCUACCCAUAACAGGGGGAUAACACUGAGAAAUUGGUACUAAUACCCCAUAACAUCAGGACCGGCAUCGGUUCUGGUUGAAAACUCCGGUGGUUAUGGAUGGGCAUGCGUUGUAUUAGCUGGUUGGUGAGGUAACGGCUCACCAAGGCAACGAUACAUAGGGGGACUGAGAGGUUAACCCCCCACAUUGGUACUGAGACACGGACCAAACUCCUACGGGAGGCAGCAGUGAGGAAUAUUGGUCAAUGGACGCAAGUCUGAACCAGCCAUGCCGCGUGCAGGAAGACGGCUCUAUGAGUUGUAAACUGCUUUUGUACGAGGGUAAACGCAGAUACGUGUAUCUGUCUGAAAGUAUCGUACGAAUAAGGAUCGGCUAACUCCGUGCCAGCAGCCGCGGUAAUACGGAGGAUCCAAGCGUUAUCCGGAUUUAUUGGGUUUAAAGGGUGCGUAGGCGGUUUGAUAAGUUAGAGGUGAAAUUUCGGGGCUCAACCCUGAACGUGCCUCUAAUACUGUUGAGCUAGAGAGUAGUUGCGGUAGGCGGAAUGUAUGGUGUAGCGGUGAAAUGCUUAGAGAUCAUACAGAACACCGAUUGCGAAGGCAGCUUACCAAACUAUAUCUGACGUUGAGGCACGAAAGCGUGGGGAGCAAACAGGAUUAGAUACCCUGGUAGUCCACGCAGUAAACGAUGAUAACUCGCUGUCGGCGAUACACAGUCGGCGGCUAAGCGAAAGCGAUAAGUUAUCCACCUGGGGAGUACGUUCGCAAGAAUGAAACUCAAAGGAAUUGACGGGGGCCCGCACAAGCGGAGGAACAUGUG